UACAGAGGUCUCAAGCGUUGUUCGGAUUCAUUGGGCGUAAAGGGUUCGUAGGCGGCUCGGUAAGUCGGGUGUGAAAUCUCGGAGCUUAACUCCGAAACUGCAUUCGAUACUGCCGUGCUUGAGGACUGGAGAGGAGACUGGAAUUUACGGUGUAGCGGUGAAAUGCGUAGAUAUCGUAAGGAAGACCAGUGGCGAAGGCGGGUCUCUGGACAGUUCCUGACGCUGAGGCACGAAGGUCAGGGGAGCAAACGGG
rnacentral:rRNA from 1 species